rfam:Triticum aestivum genome assembly, contig: Triticum_aestivum_CS42_TGACv1_scaffold_220631_3B
CAAAUACUCCCUCCGUCCGGAAAUACAUGUCAUCAAAAUGGAUAAAAGGGAAUGUAUCUAGACGUAUUUUAGUUUUAGAUACAUCUCUUUUUAUUCGUAUUGAUGACAAGUAUUUUCGGAUGGAGGGAGUAGAAA